CCUACGGGGGGCAGCAGUGAGGAAUAUUGGUCAAUGGCCGGAAGGCUGAACCAGCCAUGCCGCGUGAAGGUCAGUGCCCUAUGGGCGUUAAACUUCUUUUGUGCGGGAGCAAUAAUGGUCACGUGUGGCCAGACGAGAGUACCGUACGAAUAAGCAUCGGCUAACUCCGUGCCAGCAGCCGCGGUAAUACGGGGGAUGCAAGCGUUAUCCGGAUUUAUUGGGUUUAAAGGGUGCGUAGGCUGUGAGGUAAGUCAGCGGUGAAAUGCCCCCGCUCAACGGGGUGAAGUGCCAUUGAUACUGCCUGGCUGGAAUGCGGAUGCCGUGGGAGGAAUGUGUGGUGUAGCGGUGAAAUGCAUAGAUAUCACACAGAACACCGAUUGCGAAGGCAUCUCACGAAUCCGCGAUUGACGCUGAUGCACGAAAGCAUGGGUAUCAAACAGGAUUAGAUACCCCAGUAGUC
rnacentral:rRNA from 1 species